GGCUCGGUGGCGGGUGGCCCGUGUCUGCGAUUUGUAAAAAAAAACCAUUUGCAAAAUGUCAACCAAUGUGAAGCAGAAGCUGCUCGUUCGAAUCGAGCCCGAGCCA